UACGUAGGGGGCGAGCGUUGUCCGGAAUCAUUGGGCGUAAAGCGCGUGUAGGCGGCUCGAUAAGUCCGGUGUGAAACCUUGGGGCUCAACCCCAAGCCUGCACUGGAUACUGCCGAGCUAGAGUCCGGGAGGGGAGAGCGGAAUUCCUAGUGUAGCGGUGAAAUGCGCAGAUAUUAGGAAGAACACCGGUGGCGAAGGCGGCUCGCUGGACCGGUUCUGACGCUGAUGCGCGAAAGCGUGGGGAGCAAACGGG
rnacentral:rRNA from 1 species